rnacentral:sRNA from 1 species
UGACUUGUGUAAGCGUUGUGCCUGCUAGC